rnacentral:lncRNA from 1 species
AGCGUGACUAGGGCAUCAGAGGUGGCCAUCUCCAAACUAAUCCUUUGAACUCGGUGGUGGAGGAGGGUUUUCGCGGCACCUUCACUGCUGCACCCCUCACCUCCCAUUUGGGGGCCAGGCAAACACCACUUCCUUUCUUGAGGCUUGGCACGCACCUACCCCAGAGACAUUUUUUUAAAGGGUUGAUGUUGGGGCUGCAUUUGCAAUAAAAGUCAAGGCUGGUGAAGAGAAAGAAAUCCUUUUAGCAAAAGCAAACUUCCCUGGGAUAUGGUAAGAGCACCCACCUCACCCGAAGGACAUCGGCCGCCCUCCUCCUACCCCAGCCACCCCAGCAGGCCUCUCCAAGGUGCAGCCAGCAAACUGGAACACAGUUGGCAGCAAGGGCCUGACCCAAUCAGCAGCCCCGCUGGGAUUUGUGAAAGCUUCAGGGGACCCUUCCCCUAAGAGCUAAAAAGCGAAGGCGGAAAAGGACCCUGCAGGACCAGACUGAAAGGUAAAUGUAGAAGACAGCACGGUCUCCUGAACAGAUCCCACCAACACCACUGCCAGGGUUCAGCACCACCCACGCUGAGCCCCGGGUCACUGUUCAGCACCACCCAGGCUGAGCCCCGGGUCACUGAAGAUCUGGUUUCAGGAGGGCUGCAGAGUGAACGCCAAAUGCUUCACGCUGCGAACACUGGAGGGAUAAAAGCAUCUUUUUCUCCCUGGCCUGGAUUUCAGAUUUCUCUGUAAAAGGCAGAACUGUGCACUAGCAGGCAGCUAACCCUUUUUCCUUUUUUAAGAAAUAAAAAGGAUACAGCAAAAGGGGAAAAUCCAAAAAUAAAAUUCAGUCAUCUAAUCAGAAAGAAUCCCACCAGCCUGGCAGAGUUCAUCCGUGUGCAGUGCUUAUAACGUUUAAAAAAAAAAAUCUUUUAUUUUGCGUUUGGUUCAUACUUUCUGAAGACCUCCUCCUAAAGCAUUACAAAAGGUAGCAUUUUGUGUGUCUCAGGUCUUUUAAAAAUCACCCCAUAUUAUCUGAG